rnacentral:rRNA from 1 species
UACGUAGGGCGCAAGCGUUGUCCGGAAUUAUUGGGCGUAAAGAGCUCGUAGGUGGCGUGUCGCGUCUGCCGUGAAAGCCCAUGGCUUAACUGUGGGUCUGCGGUGGAUACGGGCAGGCUAGAGGCUGGUAGGGGCAAGCGGAAUUCCUGGUGUAGCGGUGAAAUGCGUUGAUAUCAGGAGGAACACCAAUGGCGAAGGCAGCUCACUGGGACGGUAUUGACGCUGAGACGCGAAAGCGUGGGGAGCAAACAGG